CGAGGGGAGUGAAAAAGAACCUGAAACCGUGUACGUACAAGCAGUGGGAGCACGCUUAGGCGUGUGACUGCGUACCUUUUGUAUAAUGGGUCAGCGACUUAUAUUCUGUAGCAAGGUUAACCGAAUAGGGGAGCCGAAGGGAAACCGAGUCUUAACUGGGCGUUAAGUUGCAGGGUAUAGACCCGAAACCCGGUGAUCUAGCCAUGGGCAGGUUGAAGGUUGGGUAACACUAACUGGAGGACCGAACCGACUAAUGUUGAAAAAUUAGCGGAUGACUUGUGGCUGGGGGUGAAAGGCCAAUCAAACCGGGAGAUAGCUGGUUCUCCCCGAAAGCUAUUUAGGUAGCGCCUCGUGAAUUCAUCUCCGGGGGUAGAGCACUGUUUCGGCAAGGGGGUCAUCCCGACUUACCAACCCGAUGCAAACUGCGAAUACCGGAGAAUGUUAUCACGGGAGACACACGGCGGGUGCUAACGUCCGUCGUGAAGAGGGAAACAACCCAGACCGCCAGCUAAGGUCCCAAAGUCAUGGUUAAGUGGGAAACGAUGUGGGAAGGCCCAGACAGCCAGGAUGUUGGCUUAGAAGCAGCCAUCAUUUAAAGAAAGCGUAAUAGCUCACUGGUCGAGUCGGCCUGCGCGGAAGAUGUAACGGGGCUAAACCAUG
rnacentral:rRNA from 1 species